UUGUUCCUCUUGUUUCACGUGGUUAUAAUCAUUCCGUGUAGCAAUCUUGGUCCUUCUCAAAAGACGUCGUUUAUUAUUUUUAUCAGUUUUUUUGACCUCACCCACAGCACAUACGUUCCCAGGCCAGAGAUGGAAUCUGAGCUGCAGCUGCAACCUACGCCACAGCUCUGGCAAUGCUGGAUCCUUAACCUGCUGCAAGAGGCCGGGGAUCAAACCCUUGCCGGUGCAGCGACAAUUCUAGAUCCUUAAUCCACCUCUCCACAGCGGGAACUCCAAAAGAAGUAUUUUUUUUCAUGUUGCUGUAGACCCUGGCUCUGCUGUGCUGUUAGCUGUGGAACCUUGGGCGUGUUACCUAACCUCUCUGGGCCCCUCCUUCCUUAUCUGCAAAACGGACUUGAGUAGAGUAUUUGCCUCCCAGGGCCCCUGCCAGGAUUCAGCAAGAGAAUGCAAGUGAAACGCUGCACCGACAGCCCAGCGCAGUGAACGCUGACAGUUGGUCGAGGGCCGGACACGGGCGAGUUCCUUUUCCAGCUCGCGGGGACAGUGCUACACUGAACACCACUGAACACCACAGGGUCCCGAGCUUUUUCGUGUUCUUGCCAGAGCUGGCUGUCGGCACUGCUGCCGGCAGCGGAAGCAUCCUGGCUGAUUUACCAUUUAUUUCCAGCCUCACUGAGAUCUGGUCGACAUAUCACAUCGUGAGCUGAAGCCACGAAGAUGUUCCGUGUGGUGUUAUUUACAGCAGGAGGGGAGAAUCGGAAAUAACACAGGGGUCGGCAAUGACUGGACUGUUAAAAUAACUCCCACCACUUCCUUCAUUGGCGUGAACACUGAGGACUAUCAGGUCCCAAGAGAACCAAGGUUUUUUCCUCUUGUUGAAAGAAGAAUCCCUCAGCCCCGAAAAUAACGGCCAGCAUAUAAAGGUGUUUGGUAUGUAUUCUGGGGAUGAAUGAAUAAAUAAUGCUGUGAAAUUAAUUUCCA
rnacentral:lncRNA from 1 species